rnacentral:rRNA from 1 species
UACAGAGGGGGCAAGCGUUGUUCGGAAUUACUGGGCGUAAAGGGUGCGUAGGUGGCGCUGUAAGUCGGGUGUGAAAUUUCGGAGCUUAACUCCGAAACUGCAUUCGAUACUGCGGUGCUUGAGGACUGGAGAGGAGACUGGAAUUCAUGGUGUAGCAGUGAAAUGCGUAGAGAUCAUGAGGAAGACCAGUGGCGAAGGCGGGUCUCUGGACAGUUCCUGACACUGAGGCACGAAGGCCAGGGGAGCAAACGGG